rnacentral:tRNA from 1 species
GCUUAAGUAUUUUAAUUAAAAUAUUGUUUUGUGGGAUCAAUGAUAUGGGUUAUUUCCAUCUUAGGCC